rnacentral:rRNA from 1 species
UACGUAGGGGGCGAAGCGUUGCCCGGAACUUAUUGGGCGUAAAGCGCGCGCAGGCGGCUCUUUAAGUCUGGUGUUUAAUCCCGAGGCUCAACUUCGGGUCGCACUGGAAACUGGGGAGCUUGAGUGCAGAAGAGGAGAGUGGAAUUCCACGUGUAGCGGUGAAAUGCGUAGAGAUGUGGAGGAACACCAGUGGCGAAGGCGACUCUCUGGGCUGUAACUGACGCUGAGGCGCG